rnacentral:lncRNA from 1 species
CCUAGUGCUUCUUAUUUUGGUUACUCUAGUUUUUUAUGAUUUUAAUUGCUUUGAUGUUGAUUCUCGACUUCUUGUUAUGGUACUUGUAGUUGAAAAUGAUGAUUCAGCUAUGAAAGUGAAAACAUCUCUUUUAAAGAAGGGUUCUAAUGCUAUUGAAGAGAUAAUUGAUGAAGAAGAGGAAGAGGAUGAAGAAUUGAAUGGUGAGGACCACAAUGAUGAUAUGGAGGAUAAUUUUUUGAGACUUUGAUUUGCCUCUAAAUUAGUUUUAAAAUUGAAACUUUAAGUCUAUUAAGUUUGGGUUGUAUUAAGUAUUUAAGUUUGACAAU